UCGGAAAUCGGUCGCAGAGUAUAAAGGCAAAAGCGCGCUUGACUGCGAGACAGACACGUCGAGCAGGUACGAAAGUAGGUCUUAGUGAUCCGGUGGUUCUGUAUGGAAGGGCCAUCGCUCAACGGAUAAAAGGUACUCCGGGGAUAACAGGCUGAUACCGCCCAAGAGUUCAUAUCGACGGCGGUGUUUGGCACCUCGAUGUCGGCUCAUCACAUCCUGGGGCUGAAGCCGGUCCCAAGGGUAUGGCUGUUCGCCAUUUAAAGUGGUACGCGAGCUGGGUUUAGAACGUCGUGAGACAGUUCGGUCCCUAUCUGCCGUGGACGUUUGAGAUUUGAGAGGGGCUGCUCCUAGUACGAGAGGACCGGAGUGGACGAACCUCUGGUGUUCCGGUUGUCACGCCAGUGGCAUUGCCGGGUAGCUAUGUUCGGAAAAGAUAACCGCUGAAAGCAUCUAAGCGGGAAACUUGCCUCAAGAUGAGAUCUCACUGGGAACUUGAUUCCCCUGAAGGGCCGUCGAAGACUACGACGUUGAUAGGCUGGGUGUGUAAGCGUUGUGAGGCGUUGAGCUAACCAGUACUAAUUGCCCGUGAGGCUUGACCA
rnacentral:rRNA from 1 species